UACGGAGGGGGCGAGCGUUAUUCGGAAUUAUUGGGCGUAAAGGGCGCGUAGGCGGCCCGGUAAGUCAAAGGUGAAAUCCCUCGGCUCAACUGAGGAACUGCCUUUGAAACUGUCGGGCUUGAGGCCGGGAGAGGGUAGUGGAAUUCCCAGUGUAGCGGUGAAAUGCGCAGAUAUCGGGAGGAACACCGGUGGCGAAGGCGGUUCUCUG
rnacentral:rRNA from 1 species